CCGGCCUCCACAGACAGCCUGAGGGGACGCCAGUCACCGCUGAACAGGGCGGGAAAAGGGAUUUAGAACUUUGUGUGGGCUUGCCACAGUGAGACCCAGUACCAGAUAAAAACCUAAGGCCUCUAUCCUUGUGACAGAGCAAAACGGAGCCUCCAACUCGGCCGGCAUCAGGCGCAGGCCAGUGCAUUGGUGGAGAUGGCGCCCAGGUGGGUCCCCAGGGCCUGCCUCCUCCUCGCAACUAGUAACCCUGAGAUCCAGCUUUGUGUCAGCCUGAAUGGCCAAGGACCCACCUCCAGCGACUGUCCCCUCAUAUCAGGCUGAUACUGAGGAGAGUCGGAUGUCAGUCACAGCAGGAGAUGGACUUCCUUUAUUGCUUCUUGUGGCACAGAUCUGAUGUUGAAUUUUUUGGCCAUGAUGGACGCAACGGCCAGAGCUGCACAGAUCUGAAGCCAGGAGCCAGGAGCUUCCUCCUGGUAUCUCACGCGGGUGCAGAGACCCAAGCGCUUGGACCUUCUUCUACUGCUUUCCCAGGCCACAGCAGAGAGCUGGAUUGGAAGAGGAGCAGCUGGGACUAGAACCUGUUCCCUUGUGGGAUGCUGGCGCUUCAGGCCAGGGAUUUAAUCUGCUGCGCCACAGUGCCAGCCUCUCAUUUAUUUCUUUGAGUGAAGGGAAAUGUGCUUUCUGCUGAUAAUACGACUGAGAUGUGAUGCAGGUGAGCUCGUGACUCUUUUUUAACCUUUUAAGUUCCAAUGUAAAUGAUUUUGACAACAAGCUGACGUUUCAGAAAAUAUUAAGGCACCAUGAGGGCUUUUCUUAACUCCUGGUAAAUUCCUGUUUUUAUAUGAGGGUACAUGAAGGGCAAAAAGGCACCAAAAACCUUUCUUUUAAUAAACUCCGAUUAACUCAG